rnacentral:rRNA from 1 species
CAGCCCCUCGAGUGGUGGGGAUGAUUAUUUGGCCUAAAGCGUCCGUAGCCGGCCGUGUAAGUCCCCCGUUAAAUUUAGCGUCUCAAGCGUUGGACUGCGGGAGAUACUGCUCGGCUAGAGAGUGGGAGAGGUGUGCGGUAUUCUGGGGGUAGGGGCGAAAUCCUUUGAUCCCCGGAGGACCACCAGUGGCGAAGGCUGCACACUAGAACACGUCUGACGGUCGGGGGCGAAAGCUGGGGUAGCGAACCGGAUUAGAUACCCGAGUAGUCC